AUUGAACGCUGGCGGCAGGCCUAACACAUGCCAGUCGGGCGAGCGGCGGACGGGGGAGUAAUGUAUGGGGAUCUGCCUGAUGGAGGGGGAUAACUACGGGAAACUGUAGCUAAUACCGCGUACCAUAGGCUGCGCCCAAUUGGGAUUAGGUAGUUGGUGGGGUAAAGGCUCACCAAGCCGCCGAUCUCUAGCUGGUCUGAGAGGAUGACAAGCGACACGGGGACGGAGACACGGCCCAGAAGCCUACGGGAGGCAGCAGUGGGGAAUAUUGCGCAAUGGGGGCAAGCUGACGCAGCUAUGGCGAGUUAAUGAAGAAGUCCUGCGGGUGGUAAAGGUCUUUCGGGAGCGAUGCGUUAACUACAGAAGAAGCACCGGCUAACUCCGUGCCAGCCGCAGCGGUAAUAC
rnacentral:rRNA from 1 species